UCGUCCCGAUGCCCCUCCUCAUUGACCCAAAUCCCGUGGAGGCAGCGCACGAACCAAAUCUUCUCCGAGGGCGUCGGCGGCGGCCGUCGCGCAGAUCCCUAGUCCAAGUUGGGUGAGCACUCCUAGUAGAGGUGAUGCUCCUUCUCUCGAUGGCUCCUUGCCGUUUUGUGGCUGGCAGCUCAGUUUGAGGCAGACCAGAUCGGAGCUCAUCACCAACUAACCUCCGCCCCGCAGCUUCCGUCGUAGAUUCCCUUCUGAAGCUUCCAACAUCGGUGGGUUCUUUGCCUCCUCUCUCAAGUAACAACUAGCGCCCUCCUCCCCCUCGUCGGCGGCAAGCCGGUGGUGGUCUCCUCGGCUCCUUCCCCUCUAGUCCGUGCAACGAGGUGGUUCAUUUUCCUGGUGGUGGGCUCCUCGGCUCCUUCCGAACCGACCUGUGUGACGUGGUGCAAAUCUACAAGGCAUCAACACGAUGGUUAAUUUCUCUGGACAAGAAGUUCAAUGAACAAGAAGCACUUCAUCUAGAGGCAACUAUUGUGUGUCAUCAAGAUAGCAACGUCGAUCUAGUUCUUAAUGGCAAUGCUUGCUCAGUGAUGAUUAUCAUAGUCCUUCAAACUUAGCAUAGCCCGCCAUGUACGAAAGUUGAAGCAAUUUUCUCUAGUAAUUCUUGUUGAUCUUGUCAGGUUAUUGAUAGCUCAAUAUGAAUGUCUUCUUGUGUUAUGCCCGGUAUGUUCCAGUUUGACAUGUACUAAAAAAUGUGCCGUGGAUAGACCAGUUUGACAUGCAGUCAAGCAUUAUGUGCCUAGAAUGGUCCAUUUUAACGUAUACCCAAUUUUCUGUUCCUGA